GUCUCCCCAUGCGUCUCUGCAUCUCUGUCUCAUUCUCUCUGACUGUCUCUUUGGAUCUCUGUCUCCAUUUCUGUUUCUCUCUCCAUCUUUCUGUCUCUGCUUCUGUUUCUCUCCCCAUCUUUCUGUCUUGUUUCUGUUUCUCACUCCAUCUUUCUGUCUUCAUUUCUGUUUCUCUCCUCUCCUCUCCCAUGUUUAUUUAUUGUGUUUUUCCUCUCGCAGUGAAAGACUUGGACACAGAGAAGUAUUUCCAUUUGGUGCUGCCUACGGAUGAGCUGGCGGAGCCCAAGAAGUCUCACCGGCAGAGCCAUCGCAAGAAGGUGCUCCCGGAAAUCUACCUGACCCGCCUGCUCUCCACCAAGGGCACGUUGCAGAAGUUUCUGGAUGACCUGUUCAAGGCCAUUCUGAGUAUCCGUGAAGACAAGCCCCCACUGGCUGUCAAGUACUUUUUCGACUUCCUGGAGGAGCAGGCUGAGAAGAGGGGAAUCUCCGACCCCGACACCCUACACAUCUGGAAGACCAACAGCCUUCCUCUCCGGUUCUGGGUGAACAUCCUGAAGAACCCC
rnacentral:sRNA from 1 species